GACAGAGGUCCCGAGCGUUAGGCGGAAUCACUGGGCUUAAAGCGUGUGUAGGCGGCGGCCUAAGUACCUUGUGAAAUCCCACGGCUCACCCGUGGAACUGCUCGGUAUACUGGGUCGCUUGAGCCACUUAGGGGCUACCGGAACAAAUGGUGGAGCGGUGAAAUGCGUAGAUAUCGUCUGGAACGCCAAAGGUGAAAACAGACUGCUGGGAGUGAUGCUGACGC
rnacentral:rRNA from 1 species